UACAGAGGUCUCAAGCGUUGUUCGGAUUCAUUGGGCGUAAAGGGUGCGUAGGUGGCGCCGUAAGUCGGGUGUGAAAUUUCGGAGCUUAACUCCGAAACUGCAUUCGAUACUGCGGUGCUUGAGGACUGGAGAGGAGACUGGAAUUUAUGGUGUAGCAGUGAAAUGCGUAGAGAUCAUAAGGAAGACCAGUGGCGAAGGCGGGUCUCUGGACAGUAACUGACGCUGAGGAGCGAAAGCGUGGGGAGCGAACAGG
rnacentral:rRNA from 1 species